AUUGAACGCUGGCGGCAUGCCUUACACAUGCAAGUCGAACGGUAACAGGGAGCUUGCUCCGCUGACGAGUGGCGAACGGGUGAGUAAUGUAUCGGAACGUACCAUUGAGUGGGGGAUAACGUAGCGAAAGUUACGCUAAUACCGCAUAUUCUCUCCGGAGGAAAGCAGGGGACCGCAAGGCCUUGCGCUCUUUGAGCGGCCGAUAUCAGAUUAGCUAGUUGGUGGGGUAAAAGCUCACCAAGGCGACGAUCUGUAGCGGGUCUGAGAGGAUGAUCCGCCACACUGGAACUGAGACACGGUCCAGACUCCCACGGGAGGCAGCAGUGGGGAAUUUUGGACAAUGGGGGCAACCCUGAUCCAGCCAUGCCGCGUGAGUGAAGAAGGCCUUCGGGUUGUAAAGCUCUUUCGGCCGGGAAGAAAUCGUAUGGGCUAAUACCCUGUGCGGAUGACGGUACCGGCAUAAGAAGCACCGGCUAACUACGUGCCAGCAGCCGCCGUAA
rnacentral:rRNA from 1 species